CUGCUUGUGAUACUGAAUUCCAUUGAUGUGAUCAGAACGGAGGUCAGGCAGCGCAGGCCAUAUAAACCUUGAGGGAAACGAGUUUGGCACCCUUAUAAAUGAGCAGGGACACUAUGCAAACUAAAUCUGCUCAGUACAGCGCGCUAAAGCCUAAAACAGCAGGAGUUGGGACAUUAAUAUAUACAUUCAUAUACACAAAUCAUCAGAAAACUAAACCCAGAGAAAUCUUUCAGCGGCAUAUACAAAAAAAAAAAAAAAAACAA